GACGGAGCGACGCCGCGUGGAGGACGAAGUCCUUCGGGAUGUAAACUCCUGUCAGGGGAAAGAAAGUUCUGAUCUACCCAGAGGAAGAGGCGGCUAACUCUGUGCCAGCAGCCGCGGUAAUACAGAGGCCUCGAGCGUUAGGCGGAAUCACUGGGCUUAAAGCGUGUGUAGGCGGAUGUCUAAGUGCUUUGUGAAAUCCCACAGCUCAACUGUGGAACUGCUUGGCAUACUGGACGUCUUGGGCCACCUAGGGGCGAGCGGAACAGACGGUGGAGCGGUGAAAUGCGUAGAUAUCGUCUGGAACGCCUAUGGUGAAAACAGCUCGCUGGGGGUGUGCCGACGCUGAGACACGAAAGCCAGGGGAGCAAACGGGAUUAGAUACCCCGGUAGUCCUGGCCCUAAACGAUGUCCACUAGAUCGCAGCAGCUCUGACGUUGUUGCGGUCGAAGCAAAAGUGCUAAGUGGACCGCCUGGGAAGUACGGUCGCAAGGCUA
rnacentral:rRNA from 1 species